rnacentral:rRNA from 1 species
CGAAGGGUGCAAGCGUUACUCGGAAUUACUGGGCGUAAAGCGUGCGUAGGUGGUGCGUUAAGUCUGUCGUGAAAGCCCCGGGCUCAACCUGGGAAUGGCGAUGGAUACUGGCGCGCUAGAGUGCGGUAGAGGAGAGUGGAAUUCCCGGUGUAGCAGUGAAAUGCGUAGAGAUCGGGAGGAACAUCAGUUGCGAAGGCGGCUCUCUGGACCAGCACUGACACUGAGGCACGAAAGCGUGGGGAGCAAACAGGAUUAGAUACCCUGGUAGUCCACGCCCUAAACGAUGCGAACUGGACGUUGGGAGCAAUUAGGCUCUCAGUGUCGAAGCUAACGCGUUAAGUUCGCCGCCUGGGGAGUACGGUCGCAAGACUG